GACGUAGGGCGCGAGCGUUGUCCGGAUUUAUUGGGCGUAAAGAGCUCGUAGGCGGCUCGUUGCGUCGGCUGUGAAAACCCGCAGCUCAACUGUGGGCCUGCAGCCGAUACGGGCAGACUAGAGUUCGGCAGGGGAGACUGGAAUUCCUAGUGUAGCGGUGAAAUGCGCAGAUAGUCAGGAGGAACACCGGUGGCGAAGGCGGGUCUCUGGGCCGAUACUGACGCUGAGGAGCGAAAGCGUGGGGAGCGAACAGG
rnacentral:rRNA from 1 species